rnacentral:rRNA from 1 species
AACGAACGCUGGCGGCAUGCCUAACACAUGCAAGUCGAACGAGACCUUCGGGUCUAGUUGCGCACGGGUGCGUAACGCGUGGGAACCUGCCCUUAGGUUCGGAAUAACUCCCCGAAAGGGGUGCUAAUACCGGAUAAUGUCUUCGGACCAAAGAUUUAUCGCCUUUGGAUGGGCCCGCGUUGGAUUAGCUAGUUGGUAGGGUAAAAGCCUACCAAGGCGAAGAUCCAUAGCUGGUCUGAGAGGAUGAUCAGCCACACUGGGACUGAGACACGGCCCAGACUUCUGCGGGGGGCAGAAGUGGGGAAUAUUGGACCAGGGGCGGAAGCCAGAUUCAGCAAAGCCGAGGGAGUGGUUAAGGGCUUAGGGCUGUAAAGAUCUUUUAACCGGGAUGCUAAUGCCAGUACCGGGAGAAUAAGCUCCGGCAAACUCCGU